rnacentral:lncRNA from 1 species
AUUGGUAUUGAUCAGGCCCGGUGGAGGCCGGGCGCGGGCCACAGGAGCCAGGCGCCCCUGGGCCACAUCGCCAAAACUGGUGGCAGUGCUCGGUGGCCCCGGCACCCGUGUGAGCUGCUCGCUGGUGCCAGCCUCUUCUUGGGGGCCGUGGCAGAGGGCGUGACGUGCCAGGAUGGGAGAGGGAGACAGAGGCGAGGAAGGGACACAGGGAGCCACAGAGGGGAGCAGGAGUCGGCUCUGCCCCCCACUGGGCCGGCACCCUCCCCCCCCACCCCCCCACCCCCCCCCCGGCACAAGGGGCUGGCUGAGGCGAGGGCCGCCUCCCAGCGUCUCCCGGCAGCCGCCCUUGUCACACAUGUCUUCAAAGACAGAGGCACCGACCGAGCCCUGCCCUUGAGGGCUCUGGUUCCUGGGAGGCAGAACCACCAGGGACCAGCCCAGCAAGCUGCCUGCCAGCUGCCCAGUGCCGGGCAAUGCUCCGAGCCCCUCGCUCCUCCCCCCGCAGCAGGCUCUAUGCUCAGCGCCCCCUCCUGUCCUGGACCAGUCUCCUGCACCGACAGUGCUCAGUGUCCAGAGCAACCCCAGUGUAGCCAGCUCCAGGCACCGACUCACAACCCUGUCUGCAGAGGGUAAGUUCCGGGAGAGGCUCAGGGGCGGGCAGGGGAGAGGCAGGGUGGGACGGACAGAGGUGGAGUGGGCGGGUGGAGAGGGAAGAUGGAACUGACGGACCCUUCUGCCCCGGACACCUGCCAGCUCCCGUCACGCCCCCACCUGGGACCCUGUUGGGGUGCGAUGUCCCUCCCCAGCCACCCCUGCACUUCAGCAUCUCUCGGAGAUGGCCUGUCGUCCACUCCUGGGGUUGGCACUCGCCCAGGCUCUGGGCCAGGUUGCCCCGCAGGCCGGUCCUUGUCCUCGCGGGGCAGGGACAUACAGACCCAGCUCCAUAUCCGGCGGGCCGCAGGGGUGAGUGGUCAGGGAGCCCAGCGGGUGGCUGGGGGAGCCCACAGUGGCCCUUCUGAAUGACAUUUCUCGUACUUACCAUCCGCACUUCUCUGAGGUCACGCUGUGGCCUCCUAAUAGGCCGGUGUCCCAGGGAAAUUCACACUUUUCCACUUUGGGGAAGUGCAGCGAAAGCGCCCUCUUCCAGAAGGUUCUUCCCCACACCUGCGGUAGCAGCCUUCUAAGACACUGGUGGAGCCUCGAGCCUCGCUGCCGUGAUUUCGUGAGUGAGGAACAGAGCACUUUCGGGUGACACCCUUUUCUAAACGUGACCACUCUGUUUGGCCUUAAUGCAGGCGCGAGACACCGUCUGCCAUCCCGCCACUGGGGCAGACUCUCUGAGCCCUGCUCCGGCCAAGUCCCAGGUCAUUUCCCGCUGAAGACCCGGAGGGCCGCCGUGUGUCCAUUGGGCCGCACGUUUAGAUAAUUUUACAAAUUCGUUUCCUCCUUAAAUACCAUUCAAGGGACCUAGCAACAGUCACCUCCCCGAAGGGUUCCUGAUGGGUUACACGGGCCUCAUCCAUCCUGCCCGUGCCCCGUGUCACUCGGCCCCAAAUGCAGGGCCAGCCACGGCCGCGUUUGAACAUCCACUCGCUCCACGUCACUCGCCUGGAGAAUUAUCGUGGGGGCGCGAACGCUGCGUCUCACGCUGUGUAACGAUCUGCGUCGGGGCUGAGGGCACAUGUCCUACCCCUGCCUCCUCGUGGCCUCCUCAGCAGAGCUCUGGGCUGCAGGCCCAGUGGGGCCAGGGCUGCUGGGAAUCCCUUCCCCGCUGCAGAAGACCUUAGUGGAGGGCCGCCCCCCCUUACGGUGGUGGACUGGUUUUGCCUUGGGGAUCCACCGCUGCUCCUCCAGCCCACGUGUUACAGGCUCGGCUGCCUGGCUGCCAUCCAGGGCGGGCACGUGACCCUGGGGAGGGGGGUGAUUCGGGGACUGCAUCCAUGUCAGUGAAGUGGGUUCUUGAGGACAGAGCCGAUGUGGGUGGGACAGAGAGAGGAGAAAUCUCAUCUUGGCAAUACAUUUUAAAUCCUUUUUAAAUAAAAUGUUUAUUUUUGAGAGAGAGAGACA